UACGGGGGGGGCAAGCGUUGUUCGGAAUUACUGGGCGUAAAGGGCUCGUAGGCGGCCAACUAAGUCAGACGUGAAAUCCCUCGGCUUAACCGGGGAACUGCGUCUGAUACUGGAUGGCUAGAGAUUGGGAGAGGGAUGCGGAAUUCCAGGUGUAGAGGUGAAAUUCGUAGAUAUUCGCAAGAACACCAGUGGCGAAGGCGGCUCACUGGCCCGGUACUGACGCUGAGGUGCGAAAGCGUGGGGAGCAAACAGG
rnacentral:rRNA from 1 species